AGUUCGAUCCUGGCUCAGAUUGAACGCUGGCGGGAUGCUUUACACAUGCAAGUCGAACGGCAGCACGGACUUCGGUCUGGUGGCGAGUGGCGAACGGGUGAGUAAUGUAUCGGAACGUGCCUAGUAGCGGGGGAUAACUACGCGAAAGGGUAUUAAUACCGCAUACGCCCUUCGGGGGAAAGCGGGGACCUUCGGGCCCUCGCACUAUUAGAGCGGCCGAUAUCGGAUUAGCCAGUUGGUGGGGUAACGGCUCACCAAGGCGACGAUCCGUAGCUGGUUUGAGAGGGACAGACCAGCCACACUGGACUGAGACACGGCCCAGACUCCUACGGGAGGCAGCAGUGGGGAAUUUUGGACAAUGGGGGAAAACCUUGAUCCAGCCAUCUCGCGUGUGCGAUGAAGGCCUUCGGCCAGGUAAAGCACUUUUGGCAGGAAAGAAACGGCACGGGAUAAUACCCCGUGCAACUGACGGUACCUGCAGAAUAAGCACCGGCUAACUACGUGCCAGCAGCCGCGGUAAUACGUAGGGUGCAAGCGUUAAUCGGAAUUACUGGGCGUAAAGCGUGCGCAGGCGGUUCGGAAAGAAAGAUGUGAAAUCCCAGAGCUUAACUUUGGAACUGCAUUUUUAACUACCGAGUCAGGAGUGUGUCAGAGGGAGGUGGAAUUCCGCGUGUAGCAGUGAAAUGCGUAGAUAUGCGAGGAACACCGAUGGCGAAGGCAGCCUCCUGGGAUAACACUGACGCUCAUGCACGAAAAAGUGGGGAGCAAACAGGAUUAGAUACCCUGGUAGUCCACGCCCUCUAAACGAUGUCAACUAGCUGUUGGGGCCUUCGGGCCUUGGUAGCGCAGCUAACGCGUGAAGUUGACCGCCUGGGGAGCAUGGUCGCAAGAUUAAAACUCAAAGGAAUUGGACGGGGACCCGCACAAGCGGUGAUGAUGUGGAUUAAUCGAUGCAACGCGAAAACCUUACCUACCCUGACAUGUCUGGAAUCCCGAAGAGAUUUGGGAGUGCUCGCAAGAGAACCGGAACACAGGUGCUGCAUGGCUGUCGUCAGCUCGUGUCGUGAGAUGUUGGGUUAAGUCCCGCAACGAGCGCAACCCUUGUCAUUAGUUGCUACGAAAGGGCACUCUAAUGAGACUGCCGGUGACAAACCGGAGGAAGGUGGGGAUGACGUCAAGUCCUCAUGGCCCUUAUGGGUAGGGCUUCACACGUCAUACAAUGGUCGGGACAGAGGGUCGCCAACCCGCGAGGGGAGCCAAUCCCAGAAACCCGAUCGUAGUCCGGAUCGCAGUCUGCAACUCGACUGCGCAGUCGGAAUCGCUAGCAAUCGCGGAUCAGCAUGUCGCGGUGAAUACGUUCCCGGGUCUUGUACACACCGCCCGUCACACCAUGGGGAGUGGGUUUUACCAGAAGUAGUUAGCUCAACCGUAAGGAGGGCGAUUACCACGGUAGGAUUCAUGACUGGGGUGAAGUCGUAACAAGGUAG
rnacentral:rRNA from 1 species